rnacentral:rRNA from 1 species
UUGGAAAAAAANNNNUGUAGUAACAAGGUCUCCGUAGGUGAACCUGCGGAGGGAUCAUUAACCGUAACACAGACUCGGCGCGGACUUCGGUCCCCGAGGAAAUGUCACACCCUUUGUUGUCCGACCACGUUGCCUCGGGGGUGACCCUGCCUUCGGGCUAGUCCCCCCGGUGGACCAAACCAAACUCUUGCGUAACUUUGCAGUCUGAGUGAUUUGUAAAUAAAUCAAAACUUUCAACAACGGAUCUCUUGGUUCUGGCAUCGAUGAAGAACGCAGCGAAAUGCGAUAAGUAAUGUGAAUUGCAGAAUUCAGUGAAUCAUCGAAUCUUUGAACGCACAUUGCGCCCCGUGGUAUUCCGCGGGGCAUGCCUGUUCGAGCGUCAUUACACCACUCAAGCCUCGCUUGGUAUUGGGCGACGCGGUCCGCCGCGCGCCUCAAAUCUUCCGGCUGGGUUCGAUCGUCCCUCAGCGUUGUGGAAACUAUUCGCUAAAGGUGCACUUUCGGGUCACGCCGUUAAACAAACCCAUUCAAAGGUUGACCUCGAUCAG